CCCUUAGAUGUUCUGGCCGCACGCGCGCUACACUGAUACGUUCAGCGAGUAUAUAACCUUGAUUGGAAAAUCUGGGUAAUCUUUUGAAUGCGUAUCGUGCUAGGGAUAGAUUAUUGCAAUUAUUAAUCUUGAACGAGGAAUUCCUAGUAAACGCAAGUCAUCAGCUUGCAUUGAUUACGUCCCUGCCCUUUGUACACACCGCCUGUCGCACAAACCGAUUGAAUGAUUCGGUGAAAAUUUUGGACAUCGAGAGUGGUGAUUAAUUUCGCUGCUCUUAAAUGGAAAGAAUUUAAACCUAAUUAUUUAGAGGAUUGUGAAGUCAUAACA
rnacentral:rRNA from 1 species